rnacentral:misc_RNA from 1 species
AUACAAGGCAAAACGUUAAUGUAACUCAUAAAAGAUAUGAUGUGUUAUUUGCUAUUGCUGCCUAUACUAUUCUUUUAUGGUGAUGACCCGCAGGCAAAAGGUGAAAAUUGAUAACUCAAAUGUCCUUGAUCAUCAGCAAUUAUGCAGAGAGGGUUGAGGAAACUUGAAAAAAUAUUAGCGCUUAUGCUUUCUAUUUCAGCUAAAAAAUAGACACAGACAAAAAGGGAUCAAGAAAA